GAUGAACGCUGGCGGCGCGCCUAAUACAUGCAAGUCGAGCGAACAGACGAGGAGCUUGCUCCUCUGACGUUAGCGGCGGACGGGUGAGUAACACGUGGAUAACCUACCUAUAAGACUGGGAUAACUUCGGGAAACCGGAGCUAAUACCGGAUAACAUGUUGAACCGCAUGGUUCAACAGUGAAAGACGGUCUUGCUGUCACUUAUAGAUGGAUCCGCGCCGCAUUGGCUAGUUGGUAAGGUAACGGCUUACCAAGGCAACGAUGCGUAGCCGACCUGAGAGGGUGAUCGGCCACACUGGAACUGAGACACGGUCCAGACCCCUACGGGAGGCAGCAGUAGGGAAUCUUCCGCAAUGGGCGAAAGCCUGACGGAGCAACGCCGCGUGAGUGAUGAAGGUCUUCGGAUCGUAAAACUCUGUUAUUAGGGAAGAACAAAUGUGUAAGUAACUAUGCACGUCUUGACGGUACCUAAUCAGAAAGCCACGGCUAACUACGUG
rnacentral:rRNA from 1 species